rnacentral:rRNA from 1 species
AUGGCGCUCGGCCGGCAGGCCGCGGCGGCAGUGGGCGAGCGGCGACAAGCCUGGGACAGGGGGCGCGACAAGGCGCAGGGCGUGGCUAGGCCAUGUCCAUCGCGGAGCAGCAGCAGAGGGCGUGGCCGGCGCUGUGGGGCGCGUGCGGCUGGGCGCGCGCGGGGUGGCUCGCCGGGGCAGCCGGGAGCAGCGGCGGACACGACGAAGUCUGGUGGCGGUGGCGACGAGUUCGUGGACGCGGAAGCACUACAACUCAGGAACGAGCAAGACGAUGGGCUAGGCGACACCUACAUGGCUCCCGUUGCACGCGCGAAUUACCACAGGAAGCUAGGAGCACGGCGAGGUGGAGGUUCUCAAAAUCCACGGCGGACGACAGGUGCUCGGACUCGCGGAAACGACGGCUACGAGCUGAGUUUAAGCUCGGGGAGAGAGGGGAGAAAAGCGUCAUAUCACACUGGUGGUCAAGGCAGUCUCGGGGAACCCGGGGGAGGUCCUGGUCGAGCGAAUCGACACGGAGGCCGAGGCAGAUUCCGGCGAGGGGAAACGGACGCGGGCGCCGUUGCUGCAGCUCCUCCGCCCCGAUCCGGUGGUGUAGCCGACGAAGGUGACGACGGCGCUCCUCCUGGCAUCUUCCUGGUCGGCAAGGAGGCCGUUGGCCACAACGGCGAUGAGACAGUGGUGGCGAUGGCGUUCGGGAUCGAGCGAAUCGAGCGAAACGGCUCGACGAGGAAGAAAAUGAGGGGACUAGGGUUUCGGGGGUAUCAAGGGUGA